UACGGAGGGUGCGAGCGUUGUCCGGAAUCACUGGGCGUAAAGGGCGCGUAGGCGGCGCGGAUAGUCGGCGGUGAAAGCCCGGAGCUCAACUCCGGGUCGGCCGUCGAUACUUCCGGGGCUUGAGCACUGAGAGGCAGAUGGAAUUCCGGGUGUAGCGGUGGAAUGCGUAGAGAUCCGGAAGAACACCGGUGGGCGAAGGCGGUCGUGCUGGGCAGUUGGCUGACGCUGAUGCGCGACAGCGUGGG
rnacentral:rRNA from 1 species